rnacentral:lncRNA from 1 species
UUUGGGCAGAAAAAACAACAUGGGUUUAUUUUAAGGUAAGUACAACGAUUAAGACCACGUAAGACAAACACAGAUGAAGUUAGAGUUUUUAAGCUUUUUUUUUUUUUUUCUUUUAGGAAUACUCAGGGUGGAACCUACUAUACAAAACCAUCACACUUUGUAAAUAAAAAGUAGGAAACAAAACCCACAUCGGUUUCUUGAAUUCAAUUUGGCAGUUAGAAAUGGUUGGGCAAGAUGAAAAACUUAUCCAGUGAACUCAACUUUAAAUAUUAUAUUAAUGGCUCUGAACAACAACAACAACAACAAAAUAGCCUGAUUACAAAUCCACACAUUUGUACAGCACGGUUGGAGAAAUUUAAAAUUACACACAGCACAUAUAUUAUCUAUAGAGACCCCCAUACACCUAUGGGGACCCCUACAGAAAGUCACUAGGGGCUCGCUAUGGGAUUUGGUCCAUAACUUAACUUUUGAAAGCUCAGGUCGAGCACAGCACAGCCGUCCUGGUAGGGGAGGGGGAUUUUAAGAUCAAUACUCAUUUUGUUGGGCUGCGUCCCUUUGGAGGGGUUUCCUGGGAUCCCAGAAACGGGGCGGCGAAUUAAAGUUACCUGCGCUCUUCACAGACGGCUGGGGGCUAGCGUGCCCGCUCUCUGCUCCCGGGUCUGAGAAAAGGUUUCCUUGCACCCUUCCUGGCUGUUCAUCGGCUGCGUAUUCGAUUCUCAGCAAAAGGAUGUUGAGACAACCCACCAGGCCUCUUCGCUUCGGCCUCUUCGCUUCGGGGAGGCGACUAGAAGGCAAUGGGGCGUGCCACUUAUUUCCAAUAAAAGAACAGAAGACGAAAAUGUAGAUGCAUUAUCUUUGUCUCCUGAUCAAUUCAAAGCCAAAGGGAAGCUACAAAUCAGGUUCCUUUACCUUGAAUAUUCCACUUCUGAAACAUUGUUUUUAUGAGUAUUCUGGGCUCUUUUUCUAACCUGAUCCUUUUUCUUCUUUCUUUGAAACAAAGUAAAAUAAAGCUGCCCAGUUCUCAGCUCACAGGCAAAUGAUUUGAGCUUUCUGCCCCAACCCUAAACUCCCAC